rnacentral:rRNA from 1 species
AUGAAGAAGAAAAGCACUAAUGCAUCAGAUUCUAUCUGAAACUCCGCAAUGAAGCGCGCUAGAGCGAGGAUAGUACUAAGAAAAGUGACCUCUUGGGUAGCCCUCAUGUUGUACACC